GAAAGACCUUGACGGUGUCUCCCUUACACUU
rnacentral:piRNA from 1 species